rnacentral:lncRNA from 1 species
CUUGGGUUCCAUUCUGAGUCUUCCGCGUACAAGCUAUGGGAACAUGAGUGCGGGUCACCUUCCUGACUUGUUUUCCUCACCCAGGAGCCUGUCGGAGUUGGGUUGGGGUUAUGUGCGAUUUUAUUUGCAUGUUUUGGGAGCGAGACUGCGGAUACCACACUUACUUAAGGUGGCCACACCCAGGGUCCUGGAUUCCUUUGCUCUCAAAGCUGGAGCUGAAUAUUUAUCUGCAGCUGGAAAGAAGUCUGUGCCUGUGGGCAGUUUUUCAAAUGGACUGUAACUGGAGCUUUCUCUGUUUGCAUUGCAAGUCAUCUCAGGUUUACAUCCAGAAAACCUAAUUGAAAUGUGAGCUGCAGACAAUUGGGAGGAAGCAGAGGAAUGAAAAGAGGUUGUUUCCUGAGGAUUUUGCAGAACAAUGGAGCCAGGCUGCUGCUUGCAGAAGGUCUUAGCUAUUCUUAGGCAGGGGAAGGGGAGGUUGCUUCUGCCCACCAAGCUCGUCCACUCCUGAGAUUCAGAUGGUCACGAAUCCCGUCUGCAAAGGUGCUCCUCCACAAGUAGGCAGAGUCCUCUCACACUGGUCUCAUGUGGACUCAUGUAGGGUGCCUUGCUAGUAGGGGCCCCUUUUUCCUAAACUCAGUGUUAUAAAGCUGUUCAAGAGUAUUCUAAACAAAACCAAAACAAAGCAAACAAAACUCUCCCAAGACCAGAUGUCUCCCAGAGAUUAUACAGUAAUAUUUGUCAUUUUGCCAAUUUCCCGAAGGAAAAAAGUUCUAUGUCUCUUAACUAUACAGAAUGCCAGAAUACAGAGGGAAUUUUUCCUAUGAUCCCUCCAUUGUUUUAGUUUAUUGGAUAGCUAUUGUCAGUGAAGCAGAUACGUUUUGGUUGAGAGAUGGGAUGGUAGGUCAUUUCUGUUUCUUGCUGGCAUCUUGCAUCCUCAUGUUUUGCUUUGGAAUACCAUUCCUU